rnacentral:rRNA from 1 species
AACGAACGCUGGCGGCAUGCCUAACACAUGCAAGUCGAACGAGACCUUCCGGUCUAGUGGCGCACGGGUGCGUAACGCGUGGUAACCUGCCCUUAGGUUCGGUAUAACUCCCCGAAAGGGGUGCUAAUACCGGAUAAUGUCUUCGGACCAAAGAUUUAUCGCCUUUGGAUGGGCCCGCGUUGGAUUAGCUAGUUGGUAGGGUAAAAGCCUACCAAGGCGACGAUCCAUAGCUGGUCUGUGAGGAGGAUCAGCCAGGCUGGAACUGAGACACGGCCCAGAAUCCUACGGGAGGGAGCAGUGGAGAAUAUUGGACGAUGGGCGAAAGCCUGAUCCAGCAAUGCCGGGUGAGAGAGGAAGGCCUUAGGGUUGUAAAGCUCUUUUACCCGGGAUGAUAAUGACAGUACCGGGAGAAGAAGCUCCGGCUAACUACGUG